CCGCUGCCGCCCCCCCCCCCACCAGGCUGCCCCGCGCCAGCUUCUGCAGCUCGACGGGCACCACGGCGCUGGGGCAGUGCUUCUCGAUGUAGUCCUGGAAGCCCUGCACUCCCAUGAAGCUUGCAGACUCUUCGUGUGGAUUAUGUAAAAACAACAACACUUCUGCUGGGACACUUGUCCAGGUUGACUCACCUCCAUCCUUAGUAUGAAAUGCUCACAGAUCUGCCAGUGUGCUCCUGCAGACCCCACAGCCUAUACAGAGCAGCAGAGCUGAGCAGGUAUCAGGUAAGUGCUGGUCUGGCAAGAGGUAACAUUUAAAUGUACACCCACAUUUUCAAAUUAAUGAUUUAAUUUUUUUAGAAGAGUCUGAGAUAUUUGUGCUGUAGCUCUUCUGCCUGACAGAAGGAAUAUUGAUUUAUACAGAUUAUUUUCUCUUCAUUUAUCCCUUUAAUGCUGUUUCACAAUGUUUAACCUGUGAUCUCCUCAACUUUAAUGUAAGUCAGAAAAACAAUUGAAAUGCAUUGAAUUGAAUAUUUAUGAAGAAUGCAAGAAAUGAAGAGCUAACCUAUAAAGUUUGUCCCUGGAAAACCCCACUUAAGAAACUUGUACAAAUUUGUAUCUUAGUUCUGGAGGGGAAAAAAAAAAAAAAAAAGUAAAUAUUACAUAGUUCUCAGUAAUGAGUGCAUUUGUGGUUUCCAGAAGAAUCCAGUUUAGUUCUCCAGAUACUCUCUGCAUAUAGACUGACUUUUGAUCCCCUCCUGCAUAAUACAGCACGGGAGCAUGCCUCUUAAAGUCCUGCAGCAGUUCAGGGCUGUGGGUACCUUUGAUGUGCUGCUCUCCUGGCACAGAGGCAAGUGGGCUUGGUAGCAGUGUGGACAGGAUGGUGGUCCAGGCCAGGCCGACCCACCAGCACGUGGCUGCUGAGCUGCUUGCCCACCUCGCCAAUUGCACCCCCAACUUCUGCUCUAUUAAUAGCCACGUUACAGCCAGAUCAGAAUAUAAGGUCUGGGAUGGGCAGUGCAUGCUGAAAUAGCUUCGGGACUGGGCUGCAGUCAAAAUGAGUCUGUGGUUUUAUUUUUAAACCGGUUAAGCAUAUUUUAAAUUGAAUAAGCAUUGUCAGAACUAAUCAUAUCUCAUACCCAGCGCUCCUCUGAACACUUCAAAUACAUUUCUCACAGAGCCUCAUCCUGGCCUGCAGCUGAGUGGUUUUGGUGCCAUUGGGCUGACUGACUCAGUGAGGGUCACCCGCUUACCUGCUGGGAAGAAAAAGCCCGUAUCUGCCUGAGUGGUUACCAGGCUAUGGUAACCAGGUAACAGCUUAGCAACUUUGAAAAAAAUAUCAGCAGAGUAACUUUGAAUGGAGGUAGAUGAGCAAUGCUCAGACAGCCUCCCCCAUUCCCCAGCCAUACGCCAGCAGCAUCUCGAGGAGCUGCAGGGCUGCGGCUCACCCACCGCGGCCGUGUGUCCAAGCAGGGCUGUCCCAGGGCAGCCAUCCUUCUCCUGUUCCCUUUGUACCAAAACACCAAACCCCACAGCAUGUCUGCAGAGCAUCCUCCCACAAGCUGAUUGUUGUUCUUACACUGUUGUGAACAAGAGUCAGAGCUGCACGUGGAGCUGAAAUCUGGCACCAGUGUGAUGUGACACAUCCACCACAGUGAGUGUCCAGCACCAGGCAGCAUGCUCCCCUGAGGGCUGCGCUGCCUGCAGGAAGGGAACUGCAGCACAGAGCUGGGUGUGCCUAAGAAUGAUGGCAUUAGUGCAAGUGCUGCUCACUUCGUUUCAUCUCACACAGCUGAAAAAUACUUCACAGUUUAAUUGUUUUGCUUAGGUAUUAUUCUAGCAAUCUUAAAGAUUAUCCUUUUUUAAAUUUAUUUAUUUGUUUUUAUUUUUACUUCUUUGUCCUCACCACCUGUGCCUUACUGCUGAACGUAUUACUGUGCAGUUAAGGAAUCCCUAAGUGCUAAUGGCACACAAUACUCCCAGAACAGGCAAUUCUCAAAUUUUGCAGUAAAGCUGCAGAUUAUGAGAGCAAAUGCCUACCUCCAUCCACAGACUGGAAGCUUAUCUAAACUGGCAUCUGUUAUGUACUCUGGCAAUUACAAACAUACUUGAAACUAGACGUGUUUGAAAUCUGAAGGAAGACUCAUCUAGUAACAAAAGUGAGAAAUGACAGCCCGGAGCUCAUUAAAAUAAAAGUUUUUAAAAAUAAUGUGCUGAAGAUCUUGUGUACUAAAUAACAAAGUGAUUUUAAAUGCCUAUGUAUAAAAAGUGUACAGAAUGAACAGUAAAAUCCUGCCUCCAAUGAGUUCUGUAGGAAUUUCACUAGUCAGUGCAAGGGCACCUGGACUCUACCCACGCUCUCUGAGAGUGCUUUUUGUAUUGGCUUAUGUAACAUGGUUCUCUGGCAGAAUUUAAUUAAAGUGAAAUGUGUAAAGCAUUUGGCAUGAAGUAGUCAAAGUUUUUAACAUACACUAUUUAGAAUGAAAUCUAACUUAGAAGCAAAUAACACUAACUUUGUGCAUUUCAAUACGAAUUACUUAAUGGAGAAGCAUUUUUACCGUUAACAAAUAUGUCCUAUAAGAUUUCAUUUUUAAGAUCUAAACAAAUUUAGAGGCUUUCUUUGAAAUGUUGCAAGCUGAAGCAAACUCACUGACUUGACUUUAUCUUUGCUCUCAAUUAUACCACAGUCAACAAUUCUUUACUGUAACUUAAUACUGAAUAAGUGUUCUUGCUGACUGCUGAGAUCAAGUGGGAGGAGGAGCUCGGCAACAGUAGAACUCUGUUACUCGUGCUUUUAUUUACAGCAGCAGUUCAUAUACUUAGUGGUUUUUAUUUUUAGGCAGGAGAAAUAUAAAAUAUCCGUGAGGCUAAAAUUACUGUGUUUGAAGAUUUUUGGUCUGAAAAGUUCCGUGAUUCCCCUCGCAGAGAGGGAACAUCUCUGACUUCUCAAACAAUCUGCAGACUUUCUGAGGCAGAUAGUUUAAGGCAUGUGUUUUGGACUGCACUGACUUAUAAACAUGUACAAUUAACAUAGCUUUCUUGUUAUGGCAUUCAAGUUACCAGAUCAGGAUGAUACAUUAAAAAAGCAUGCAGAUAAGGCAUCAUUUGCCCAAACAUGUCAUCAGAAACUGCCUUUCUGAAGGUAUGUCUCAAGCAGAAGAAUGAAAACAGAUAUAUGAUACGGUUCUGUUUCAGAGCACUCAUAGUACCACUAUGAUGCAGACUGCCUUCACGACUUCCUAAACUCAGCACUGACAAAGGGAGACUGAUCUGAAUUCUCAGAAGCGUUAUACUGAACUCUCAGUUUAGUACAAAAAUUCUUGAAAAUAUAUUUGGUGGAGAACUGAGCCCAAGUGACAUUACUGGAAAAAUAAGGUUUUCUUUGGCAUGGGUCACUGCACCAUGACAGCCUCUGUUCUUUGGAAGUGUCUCUAAAAUAUAUCAGAUUAUUUCUCUCCCUUAUAGCCUCCUCCUAAAUAAAAAUAGAAUGAUUCAGCUUCUUCACAAUGCACAGGAAAAAAAAAGGAAGUUAAAAAUAAAUCUCAGUUCCUUUUAGCACACAGACCACAGCUGUCUUUUUACCUUUAAGGAUAAAGCACGCUGGUCCCAUUGCCCUCUUCAAGGCAGCAGGGUUAUCACAGGAUGGUUUUUUGCUAUUUGAGGGGCUGUUCCGAGUUAAUUGGUGCUUACAGCAAGGAGAACUUCAGCAGUGGUAGAGAAGCUGGGCAUCUUUGCUGCCUGCAGGACUACCACAACAUGUCUGACUCCAUCACCAGAGAGCUGGCAUAUAAAUGGAAUGAAAAAUUCACUGAAAUGCUUUGAUGUUGCAUACGAAUCUGAAAGGAGUAGGAGAGUUUGUUUUUAAAAGGAAAUUAAUGAAAGACCUACAGAUAUGCAAAAUAAUGGGUGGUAUAAAAGAAGAUAGGGAAAUUCUUGUUUUUCUCCCAAGGUAAGGAACCCGGGCAUUCACAAAGGGAGGUAUAUUAUGCAAAAAACAAAGCAAAACACAAAAGAACCCAUUCCCUGUUUGAUUUCACACUGUGCCGUUGCUGCCAAGCCUGCCACCUGACUGGGCACAGCCACACCGGGGACCCCAAAGCAGCUCUGCUUACUGCUGCCUGAUGGCAGUCACCACAGGUCGCAGCCAUGAGAUGUUGCUGCGCUGAAAGCUCAUGACUCGAAGUGAAAGACUUUGCAGGAGUUAAAAAAAAACAACAGUGCAGAGAGGUUUUUUCAUCAGAAAGCCUGCUGAAAUUAUGCCAUUUUCCUUGGAGGAAGUCCAGUGUACAUGAAGAAUUGAUAUCGACCAACGGCUGUGGCAGAAUAUUUCUGAGGAAGCACCUUGUUCAUAUUUUGGCAGCAUGAGAAUGUUGGGUUUUUUUCCCGAUUGCAAAAGUUGCUCCACCUGCCACAAAGCCAAUGGUUCCAGCCUGCCGCCCUCAUUCCAUGGUGUGUGGUGCUGGGGUGAGCACCUUCCAUUGCAGCACAACUCAAACCUAUCCCUGUGCACCUGGGGCCGAGCACGUGUGUGAGCCAUCGUGCCAGGACCGUGGGCCCCCCAGCCAAGGGACCAUGGGGCACACUGCUCACCACAUCCCAUCUCCCUGCCUUAGUUCAGCACAGCUGGUUUUUCUUUUCUGCUCUUUUAUUUAUUUAUGUAUUUAUUUAUCUAUUUACUUAUUGCUAUCCAUUGUAAGAAUAAGAAAAAAAGGAAUAUGAUUCCUUAAAGGAUACAUGCAAUGGAAAAAACAAACUCAAUUCUAAAAUGACUAUUUCAGUGAUGACUUGUAAUCUGUGCAGUUUCAUCUACUUGAUAAUACCCAGCUUAGCGUUAGAUCUAAAAAAAGAAUGAAAUGAGAAAAUCAUUCCUUUGAUAUGCAUUAAAUUAUUCAGUUAGUAAAUUAGUGAAUCUUAUUCUGAGUGUUAUUAGCUAUUAGCAUGUUACACUUCUUGAUGUUGUUUAUGAAGAAUGCGUAUGAAAAUGAGGAAAAGAUUUCCCUUUUGAAGUUGUUGCCACUUGAAUUGUUGACAUUUCUCUUAAUUGGUGGCUGUCCUCUUGAAUGCAAUAUUCUGCUGUCUGUUUUUGUGAGAUUCCUAAUUUUUAAUUUCUCCUCUCAUUGAGUAGACUUUUCUUUUUUUCUUUUUGAACGAGUAACUAUCAAAAUAAUUAGCCUUUUUCGAGGUAACCAUGUUCUCCUAAGAUAUUUAUGGAGUGUUUUCCCCACUCAGUAUACUUAGGAUUUUUUCAUUAGAAUUCCAAGGUCGCCUGUGGGCCGGUCAAACCACACCUGGUACCACUGCAGGCAGCAGGAACUGUGCUGUAGAUUUCAGGAGGAACAAAAUUAGUCACUAGGAAUUAAAAAAGAGCUUGGCCUUCAGUUUGAAUUAGAAAUAUGCCUAUUAUGUAGGAAAACCUGCAAACAUUUCUUCAGGCUCCAGAGUAGGGUUGAGGAGGGAGUGAAAGCUGGGGAAGGACAGCAAAGUAAAUCCAUCAGAACAAGGAUCCAUCACUGCCUUUAAAGGACCUGUUGAUUUCAGCCACGGGGCCAGCAAGCCUCCGUUACACCGCUGGAUCUCCAGCACUGGAGAUGUGCACCUCUCUUUUAUUUAAAGUCAGUACAGGUUAGAUAAAAUUGAAUCCAUUCAAAAUAACAGUCCUUCUGCAUAAGAAGUUAUUUUCUAAUGUAGAAUCAAGGAACUGCAAUUUGAAUGCAUUUUGUUUUAGAAAUGAUUGACCAUCUUGCACUUGCAACUAAAGAACACAGCAGAUAACAAAGCUCUGUGGAAUGUUAUAUGUUGCUGCAGUGAUCUAAUCCCACUCUGUUCCUGUUUGGCUUCUAUAAACCUUCUUUUCCCUUUCCUUGCUCUUGUCUUUAACCUCAAAAUCUGCCUUGCACGUUGCCAGCUGUUGUCUUCCUGCUGAAAUGCAAUCUCAUUUUGGCAUGCCAGGCUCUCUCCUGCCUAGAUGCUCUUUCAAAACAGGCUGAACAUCAUCACCCUUUUGCUUCCUCCGCCUCCCUGCCUCCUUCUGGUCUCUCUCCCUGCUUCCUUGACCCUUCAUCUUUAAGGAGCCUUCAACACAAAUGUAAAUUCACUCGCCAUUCCUAGACAGUCUUCCGUUCCAACUAAAACCUCAACUUGCAUCCUGGCAUACCUUCUUGGUACUCUCUUCAAUCUUCUUUUGGUUUGUGCUCCCCUGUCACCUGAACAAAUUCCAGUGCUUUGCUUUUCCAGCAAGACCAGCCUCCUCCAGCUCCCUCUUUUCCUGAUAGCCACUGGCGCUACCUCCAGCCUGAGAGCUCACGCUCACAUCAGCUAUGAAGCUGCCUCCUGACCUUACUUAAACACAUCGACAUCACCUUUCAGAUUGAAAAUCAAUAUGGAAAUAGGAAAAACAGAGGGAAAAAAAAAAGAAACAAACAACCAAUCAAUUAAAACAAAAAAAAAAAGCAAGAUAAUCCAGUGUGGGUGCCUAUAUAUACAGCUGACCCCAAACCAUUACAGAAUCAUAUCUUACAGGGAAGCUUCACUUUGGAGAAAAGCAAUGUUUAUAGAGAAUUAUUGUAUUUUGUACAAUGCUACUGAGGUAGCUAUUAAAAGUUGUAUGUUGUAGUCUAAAAUACUGCAGUGCGGCUCACAGAAGAGCCAGCACGGGCUGUGAAGCGGCCUUACAUGGUGAUCUAUUUCUGCCAGAAUAUAAUAUAAGCUAUUUCAAGAACCCAUUUACAAGUAAGCUGCCUGGGUAGAACCCUGCCUCACUGAAAUCAAUAGGAGUUUUGCCAGUGACAUCAGUGGAAUGAGGUUUUCCUCUCAUUUUUAGCUUGUGCAAAAUUAAAUAUUGGGUCAGGAAAACUGUUAGUUCUAUUGCAUGCAAGUGCCAGUGAUUUUAAAUACAGCAUUUGCUUAGGAGGAUUACUAAAUGGAAUUUGCAAAGUGAUUUGUUAAUGGAAGUUAUUUUGUCAAUUCAUCCAGAUUUCCUCCUUGGAUGAAGUGCUUCAGCAUACCUCUUCUGCACCAGUGAGAGCUGUGUGCUCCAACUGCUGGCCUUCAGCCGGGAGAGCGCCGUGCUUCCCUUCCCAAUGGAAGAGCAACAAAAGUGGCACUUAAUAGUACAAAUUCAUAGCUUAAGAGGUUUGCAAGCAUCUAAGUGCUGCAUGUGCUAUGAUCAUUUAUCUUUGAACUUGUUGGUAACAAUGCGUAAUUAACAAGUAAGCUGUAGGAACAUGCAAUUGCUGCGUAUUUACAUGGUAUGUGCCAGGCAUUGUGGUGUAAUCACAGGGUCUAUACCUGCUCUGUAGAAUGAGGUGCAUGGUGCACAGUGUGCUCUAUUUUAUAGUAUUUCCCACAGCCACCCAGUGAAGCAGAGCACAGCACAGCAGGGUUUGACACGCUUUGCUCCAGUGGAGGCAAUCCCUGAGGAUGGAGCUACACAGACCUGCACCCAGCACCGGCAUUUUGGCAUCACUGUGUGUCCUGCUCGCUUGGGUGGCAAUGCACAUGGAGCUCAGGUUACUUAUGCUUUGGAUUGCUGCUCUUUCAGUGAUAUAAAUGGAGUCGACUAUGCAGUAGGGCAAUUUUUUUCCUCUCACGUAUAACAUGAUGCAUCUGUAUAAUAAUUACAGGUAAAAGAAUGCAUGAAAAGAAACUAUUUCCUAUGAAGCUUUUUAAAAACACAUGCCAGCAUGUGACGACUUCUUUGCCCUAAAAUUCAUUAGGAUCAGAUUACCAAAUGUGAAGUUGCAUAAUGUAGGCACUGGGGGGGGUGGGAGGGGAGGAGGGGGAAACAGCUAGUGGUGAAAUGUGCAAAGAAAUCUGAUGCAACUCCAAGCUAGUCAUCUUUUACUUGAUUCAGCAUAAAUCGCAUGUAAAAAUAAAUCAAAAUACUGUAUUUGAGAUUCACUUUCGGCAGGAAAAGGAAUACUGUGCUUGUCAAAGUGACACAAGAAUUUCUGUGCCCAAUUUCUAAAAUGGUGUCAUCAGAACACAGACAUGAAGUAUUACCCAUUCUGAGCAGAAAAUACACACCGUGAUGGGCAGCAACACAACACUACUCUGGGUAUAGUACUGACUUGACAGAAACGCUGAUGUACCUGUUGAUGCUUAUGAAAUAAAAUGCAAUUCAGCAUACAGGGAAGCGACCUAAGAGUGGCCUGGUCUCCUCUGUGUGGAACAAAAAGCUUCUUCUUGCAGCUGACCGAAUGGUCCAGAAUUAAUGAAUCCCAAGUCACUUAUCAGCACCAAGAAUUAACAUUUCAGUCCGUCUCAGAAGAUGCAGCUCAGGAACACUGAUAAGGUGCACUAAGUCCUUCUUAUACUGGUGAAUAUGAAGAUAAUUUCAGAAGAAGCUGAUUUGGAAGGAAAACAUAAUCUCCUUUUGGAAAAUUCGUAUCUGGAAAAAAUGUUAAUUGGUUUUUGACUUGCAUUCCUCAGUCACUCUAUGCAGAUUGUUUUUUUAAUAAUUAUUUUUCAAGAUUUUCAUAAAGUGUACCUUUUGCAAAGGACCUGGGAAGAGAUGCCCACACAUGUCCUAGGCACAAACGCAGACGCCAUCAAGAUUUCACGAGUUGUUAAUUUCCACUUCUCCUAUGAACAAUCAUGAAGUGCCUGGGUGACAGUUGCAGCAACUGUUUACAUUAUCUAAAAUACCAGCACAGUGUUUUUGCUGCAUACCAACAAGAGCCGAGGUCCAUAUUCUACAAACGUUUUCAAAGGAAAUAUUUGAGGCAAGCUGCCAGCCUGGGGUUUGAAAUUCUCACUGUGGUUAAUGGUGGCAUGCCGGGCUGGGGUUGACUUUUACCUACUUUUCAAUAUUGCAUAUGCAUUCCAGUACUUUCUUUGUAAGAGGACACAUGGUAAAUACUCAAAUCCCUCUUUUAAAUUUUUAUCUGAAAAGAUGCUGUUUUUCAAGCCGAGAAGGGCAGUUUCCUCCCUCUGUUCAGGGGCAGAUAAUUUCAAAAUGAGGACUUUCCACCGGCUUCAGUAGGGUCUGGAUCAGACACCUCUGCCAGUGCUUUGAUAGAGUUGUUUCUCAUAAAGAUGCAACAACAACCACAAGAAUCCUCUAAUUAUUUCUGGAGAACUAAUGAAUAAUUUUUCAGUGGUGACAUGUUGCAUUCUUUCAGUCGUUAUUUGGAGCCCAACCAGUCUAUAUGCCAUUGAAGGCCUUGUCUCGCAUAGACAAUUUGUGAGACAAAUUGGGAUGAUGCUUUUCAAAAGCUCUGGCUAGGAGCAGCUCCCAGUCGUGAAGCGUGCAAAUGAUGUUCUCUUCAUGGCUAGAAAAGCUAUCUGCUAGCUGAUGUGAAAAUCACAGAUGCUGAUAAACUGUGAGCCUCUCAGUGAACAUGUCUGCCUAAGACUGAAAUGGUUUUCUGUAAUUCCUGCUUUCUGUGCAAGAUUUCUAGGGAGGGGCUUCGAAAGUGAGAAUUUUCCCAAGGACAACAGGCAGUGGAAACCCGGCUCUUUGAUGUGGCCAUGGAGCUGAGGAGCAGAUACCAUGAGAUGCAAGUUCAUGGAGGCUGAGCAGAAUUAGGACAAAUGUUUGAACACUCCUCAGCAAAUCACUCACACAUGAUUUAUGGAGGGAAUUACUUGCAGAACGGUUACAGCACAAGUUUUCCAAAAACAUAAAUUCAGGAAAAUCAAUCUGCUAACAGACAAAUAAUGAACAGAGGAAGAGGAAAAUAUUCUCAAACAAAUCUGAAACUGGAAAUUAUUCACUCAGCUCAGUUUACAGUGACCAAUUUUUAUGGUAGUAGGAGCUUGUGGAGUGGGAGGUAACUGUAAGAAGAAUGAUUGAUUCGGUGUCUUAUAUUGCAAUUCUGGAAGGGGUUCAACAUCUAAUUUAAAAGCCAUUUUCUUGCUCUUACCCAGUAAAGAAAUCAAAAUGAUAGUCAAUGACUGUGAGUUUUGGGCAGAUAGCAUCUAUUUUGUGUCCCUGAAGUCCUGUGGUCACCGACACAGGCUGGUUCAUAACAAAGAGCAGUUACUUAUUAUGAAAGGUUUCUCUUGCCCGAAAAUAAACGUGCCUGAGGAAGGAAAUUGCUGUCAUAAUCCUCUUUGCAUCUUCCCAUUAGAGGGGAAAAUAUUUGCCCUUCCAGAAAACACUCAGAAUUGGUUAUAAACUUGGUGCUUUCCUUCAGCCUGUGAGUUGAGGAGACCUGAAUAAGCUGCAUCUUCUCCAGCCCAUCUUCAUUCCUUCACUGUAAUUAAGAGAGCAGUGAUUUACUUCCCCCUAGGAAGAAGACUUUGGGCAUCCCUCUCCCAAGGCCUAGCCACAGCCUGGCACAGGUACUUCCUGCUCCAGACAGAGGUGGCUCUGAGCAUCCUGCUUAUGCCAGUGACACGAUGGGUGUGCAGCCAACAGUAGAUCUCCUUAACUCCUUAACUUGCUGAUUCCAUAUUUAAUUCCUAAUUCCUGAGCAGGCAGUGCUGCCUUUCACAGGGAUGGCAGAUAGGAAGGAGUCCACUUCAGGCCUACAGCUCUAUACCGCUAAUAUGUCAACUUCAACAAUUUACAUCUACAAGAGCUUUAACUCUGACAACAAUCUGAAUGCAGACAGGUCUCAGCCAGCCUCUGUAGAAUGCUUGACCCAGCUCAAAACUUACCACUAACCUUUGCCUUUAUCCUGCCCAGAAUCCCCCAGACCGUAUGCAUUUGGGAACCUGGGCUAGAGAGGGGGUAAGAAAGAUAUUCUGCCGCUGCAGCCCCCCAGUCCUGCUAGCUUUUUUGUCUGUUGUUUAAUCUGUUACACAUGAUUAACUCCUCUGUGUUUCUGCCUGGCAGAAUCCAUGACUAAAAAUAUCCUGUGAGUAUACGGUGCGUGCUGCAACACUGGCAGAAAGUAAAUAAGACCAUAGUCCUCAUAAUCACUGUUUUUGCUAAGAACUACUGCUCCCAGCAGACUGGCUAUUUUAGGCUGUAAAUGGAAAGCUGAAAAUGAGAUUUUUUUUCCCUGCCAGUUCUUCUCCUGGGAAUUCUACUGCUUUCUGCUCUGCACCUACUCUGGGUGUUGAUGGCAGCAUGCUGCUAACACUAGCUCAUAGGGGAUGGAUCACUGGAGCUCGUUCUGAGGGGUACAUAGGAACAUAGGAAAUAAUUUCCACUGAUAUCAUCGUAUCAUUUGGAUGAAGUGUUUGAUCAAAAGUGGACGGGGAUAUUUUGAUUUAUUUCAUGAGUCAGGUGGCAGUUCACUUAUAUUCAGUCAGAAAGGUUUUCUUUAGCUCUCUGCACUUCCUGUUCUAAUACUGGUAAAUGUAUUUGCCUCUCUCUUAAUUUUGCAGACCACCUUUUAACCUCUCAUUUGAUGAUCUAAACACAAACACUCUUGAUUUGUAGUCCCAUUGAUACCAGCGAUGCCUGGCCUUGUCUCCAUGAUAUAGCACCUAGAUCAAGCAUAUCAUAUAGAUCUAAUGAAAGAUCUUUGCACGGUGUGCAAAUCUGAGGAGCACUAAUUAUCAUUCUUAGACUUCAUGCAUUAUGCAUCUUCUGCUGGAAAAAGCUUUGUGUUUUCAGGAAUUCAAAAUAUUAGGCUUUGCUACAGCAACAUGCAAAUCUAAGAACUUGAGAACAAAUCAUAAUCUUUAGCAUUAGCUGUAUCUUUCUGAUGGCUCAAACAUUGUUUAGAAGGAUUUUCUAAGAAGGAUUUUCCAGGAAACACCCUAGCUAUUUCGUGGCAUGGACACUGUUGUUGUGUCAGGUCUGUAUAUCCCCAUUUGUGGAAUACCACUCAAGAGCAUCCUUGGAGUUGCUGAGUAGCUGCUGAUUUCUUUUAAUCACCUGUAGUACUACUGUGGAGUGGUCUGUGUAUAUAAAAAAAUUAACUUUUAACUUCAGAAAAACAUCAGUCAAACUAUUUUCUGCACUGAGGAGAAGGAGUGGGUUUUUCUGGGAGCAAACCUACGGGAUGACCUCAGUCAGCAAGGGUCAUCCCUGGCACGAAGCGGAUGAAGGAAUUUUAGAUGACAUGAGAAAAAAAAAAACAAAAA